rnacentral:rRNA from 1 species
GUCUCCAGCCAUGCCACCUUGAACAAGCCCGAUCCCAUCUGAUCUCGGAAGCUAAGCAGGGUUGGGCCUGGUUAGUACUUGGUUGGGAGACCACCCAAAAAGACCAGGUGCUGUAGGCG